AUCAGGAAGGCUGUGAGGCAGAAGAUGAAAAGCAACACCAGUGGGAGGAUAACGUACAAGACGAUCUCAGUCUUCGCAUCCUGGUCGGUUAAGAGCUCGUUCCAGUGGUAACCCUGCACACAAAGGUAUACAGAGAUAGAUUAGACUCUAAUCCCUGGAAAUCCUUCUGGUUUGCUGUCUCGUUGGAUGACCUUACAUCAAGCUCAUUUUUUCCCCCCAAACACUUUGAGUCUAAACAUUCCCUCGGUGUGUAAACCAUUGCUCAGAGCGAGUUCAGCACCACGUCCAGUGCCUCGUCUCCCACCACUCCAUCUACCCCUCCAGAUCUCCUCAUGCUCGCAAUUAACGAACAACUCUGCUGAUGAUUAUAUCAACUGAUUUGUUACAAACAUAGCUACAGAAAUCAAUCUAACUCCUACUGAGGUGUCUGUAAUGAAGAUGUGUUGGUGCAGUAAAACUAGAACUAAAUACACUUCUCUGUAAAGAACCAUAAAUUUGGAGGAAAAGGAGGAGGAAGGUUGGAGGAAAGAAAGAAAGUAUGGAAAGAAGGAAGGAUGGAAGAAAGAACAGAGAAAAGAGACCAAAUUUUAUAGGAGUGACUCCCUUCAUCCACAUGCAAGCACUGAUGCACUGACGCUUUAUCAUUUUCUAUACUAUUUUUCUCUUUACAGUUAAUGUUUUCAUGUUAAAAAUGAAAUAAAGCUCCCUCUUGAAUUGAUUUAUGUUAUGAUGUGAUUUUCUUUCACUUCAUACGUCACUGUACAGUAUAUUUCAGGGUUUGUUG